AUCAGGAUUACGAGUCCCAAAUAUGACGAAACGCGCGUCCUGGAU
rnacentral:hammerhead_ribozyme from 1 species